CCUACGGGGGGCAGCAGUGGGGAAUAUUGGACAAUGGGCGAAAGCCUGAUCCAGCCAUGCCGCGUGUGUGAAGAAGGCCUUCGGGUUGUAAAGCACUUUCAGUGGGGAAGAAAGCCUUGGGGCUAAUACCCUCGAGGAAGGACAUCACCCACAGAAGAAGCACCGGCUAACUCCGUGCCAGCAGCCACGAGUAAUACGGAGGGUGCGGCGUUAAUCGGAAUUACUGGGCGUAAAGCGCGCGUAGGCGGUCUGAUAAGCCGGUUGUGAAAGCCCCGGGCUCAACCUGGGAACGGCAUCCGGAACUGUCAGGAUAAGAUGCAGGAGAGGAAGGUAGAAUUCCCGGUGUAGCGGUGAAAUGCGUAGAGAGCGGGAGGAAUACCAGUGGCGAAGGCGGCCUUCUGGACUGACACUGACGCUGAGGUGCGAAAGCGUGGGUAGCAAACAGGAUUAGAUACCCCUGUAGUC
rnacentral:rRNA from 1 species